rnacentral:tRNA from 1 species
GGCCCGGUGGCUUAGCCUGGUAGAGCACUCGACUGAUAAUCGAGAGGUCGCCGGUUCAAAUCCGGUCCGGGCCA